rnacentral:misc_RNA from 1 species
GGUUAUGUGGCCAUUGAGGAGGCUAGAGAAGGUGGCCCAUUUAUUUCCCAAGCGAGCAUGGGCUCUAAUAAUGGUCUCGUCUUCUUCAGGUGAAAACGGCUUGGCCUUUACAAUGAGAAUUGAAGGUCGUUUUGGGUCGUUCUUGGAAGUUCAAGGAAAAUCGAAGCAAGCUGAGAGUUUUGAGGAUUGUGAGCAGUUCCAAGCUUGACCCGGUCCAAUUCAAUGGCCAUGCUAAGCCCCUGGUCGGGUUUAGGGGAGAGGGUAAAGGUGGG